rnacentral:rRNA from 1 species
AACGAACGCUGGCGGCAGGCCUAACACAUGCAAGUCGAGCGCCCCGCAAGGGGAGCGGCGGACGGGUGAGUAACGCGUGGGAACGUGCCCUUUGCUACGGAAUAGCCCCGGGAAACUGGGAGUAAUACCGUAUAAGCCCUACGGGGGAAAGAUUUAUCGGCAAAGGAUCGGCCCGCGUUGGAUUAGGUAGUUGGUGGGGUAAUGGCCUACCAAGCCGACGAUCCAUAGCUGGUUUGAGAGGAUGAUCAGCCACACUGGGACUGAGACACGGCCCAGACUCCUACGGGAGGCAGCAGUGGGGAAUCUUAGACAAUGGGCGCAAGCCUGAUCUAGCCAUGCCGCGUGAGCGAUGAAAGCCUUAGGGUUGUAAAGCUCUUUCGUGGGGGAAGAUAAUGACUGUACCCCAAGAAGAAGCCCCGGCUAACUCCGUGCCAGCAGCCGCCGCAGUAA